GACUGGUGGCAGCCGCCGCGGUAACACCAGCGCCUCGAGUGGUACCCACGAAUAUUGGGCCUAAAGCGUCCGUAGCCGGACCUGUAAGUCCACUGUGAAAUGUUGGAGCUCAACUCUAACGCGUGCAGUGGAUACUGUUGGUCUUGGGAAUGGGGGAGGGUCGGAGUACUUCCAGGGUAGGGGUAAAAUCCGUUGAGCCUGGAAGGACUACCAGUGGCGAAGGCGCCGAUCCAAAACAUAUCCGACGGUGAGGGACGAAAGCUGGGGGAGCGAACGGGAUUAGAUACCCCGGUAGUCCCAGCUGUAAAUGAUGCAGACUGAGGUGUUGCCUGUGAGUAAUCACAGGCAGUGCUGUAGCGUAGGUGUUAAGUCUGCCGCCUGGGGAGUACGAUCGCAAGAUUUAAACUUAAAGGAAUUGGCGGGGGAGCACCACAAGCCGUGGAUGCUACGGUUUAAUUGGAUACAACGCCGGAAAUAUCACCAAAGGCGACGGCAGUAUGAAGGCCAGACUAAAGAUCUUGCCUGACGAGCCGAGAGGUAUUGCAUGGCCAUCGUCAGCUCGUGGUGUGAACUGUCCUGUUAAGUCAGGCAACGAGCGAGACCCAUGCGCUUAGUUACUAAUUCUCUCUCCGGAGGGGAUGUACUCUAAGCGGACUGCCCGUGCUAAAUGGGAGGAAGGAGUGGGCGACGGUAGGUCAGUAUGGUCCGAAACCUUUGGGCUACACGCGGCAUACAGUGGAUGGAACAAUGGGCUGCGACUUCGAAAGGAGGAGCCAAUCCUCUAAAUCCAUCCGUGGUUCGGAUCGAGGGUUGCAACUCACCCUCGUGAAGAUGGAAUGGC
rnacentral:rRNA from 1 species